rnacentral:lncRNA from 1 species
UCUAAAUUAAAUGUUUUCACUUCCCCAAAUACUAUUUUUCCUCAACCCACUCCAGAUAGGUUUCUGUCCCCAUCACUUCACUGAAACUGCAGCUGUCUAGAUCACCAGGGAAACCAGCUGCCAUGUCGUAAAGAUGCUCAGAUGACCUUCUGGAGAGACAUGUUUAGUGAGGAACUGAGGCUUCCUGCCAAUGGCCAUGUGAGUGAGAGUUUGGAAUGGGAUCUUCCAGGCCUGCCCAGGAUCACUGCAGCCUCAUGAGAAGCCCUGAGGGAGGACCACCCAGGCAAGCCGCGCCCAGAUUCUCGACUCAGAAAUUGCAAAGAUGCCUUGCUGUCUCUCUGGCUCAGCCUUCCCACCAUCACUAAAGCUGCCAGUUAACCAGUCUUUGAGUGUGGCUUCAGGAAGACAGAGCUGCGUGGUGGACUGCUUCUUUGUGGAGCCCACUGCUUCUCCAUGUAACGUUUCAGCACUCUCUGCAGAGAGCACUUACAGCGCCCUGGAGCAGCUGUCCGAAACCGCCUUCACUCUGGCGGCGCAAGCCGGUUCCAGCUCUUCUCCAUUCCAUUCACUUCCUGAGACCAGAGAUCUGGUCUCCAGCCACUGGUUCUCUUCCAGGCUUAGAAAUCAACUUUCCGGGAGUGGAAGAAGAGACUGUCUCUUAGCUUUAAUUAAUUGUUGAAAGAAUAGAGAGGAGUCUAUAGUUCUAGAAGGAAAAAAGGGAGGAAUGGAAAUUUUCUGGACAGGGGACAAAGAAGUAAAAGAAAGAUAAUUUUCCAACUCACUCUCUUCACCCUAGUCUUUAAAAGGUUUUGUUGGGUGUUAUGAGGUUUGAAAUCUAUCUUUAGGGAGGGAUGUGUUACUCAAAAGAAAUUGCCUCUAGAUUGUUUUCCCAAGUCAGUCAUUUAAAAAAUAUUUUAAUGUCAUUCUGCUUAAAUUUUUUAAACAGUGAAGUUUAUCUGCAAAGUACUUCUCAACUCAGGGUAGGAUAGGGGUAAAUUUGAGGUAGUAAGUGUGUUAGAAUCUUGAGGUAGGUUUCCUUUGAAAAAAACAAGUAGGUAUCAUUUUUAUUGGGAAAAUGAAAAAAUGCGUAAGUUUUCACAUUACAAACUGAGGAGAG